rnacentral:rRNA from 1 species
GAUGAACGCUGGCGGCGUGCCUAAUACAUGCAAGUCGAGCGAACAGACGAGGAGCUUGCUCCUCUGACGUUAGCGGCGGACGGGUGAGUAACACGUGGAUAACCUACCUAUAAGACUGGGAUAACUUCGGGAAACCGGGGCUAAUACCGGAUAAUAUAUUGAACCGCAUGGUUCAAUAGUGAAAGACGGUUUUGCUGUCACUUAUAGAUGGAUCCGCGCCGCAUUAGCUAGUUGGUAAGGUAACGGCUUACCAAGGCAACGAUGCGUAGCCGACCUGAGAGGGUGGUCGGCCACACUGGAACUGAGACACGGUCCAGACUCCUACGGGAGGCAGCAGUAGGGAAUCUUCCGCAAUGGGCGAAAGCCUGACGGAGCAACGCCGCGUGAGUGAUGAAGGUCUUCGGAUCGUAAAACUCUGUUAUUAGGGAAGAACAAAUGUGUAAGUAACUAUGCACGUCUUGACGGUACCUAGUCAGAAAGCCACGGCUAACUACGUG